CGAAUUUGUCCGUACUACCGGACAAGUACUUUAAAAAAAUCCACCACCCCGUUUAUUUCUAUUUUUGCAACAAAAAAACAACUAAGCUAUUGGGAGGUCGUUUAAAUUUUAAAAGAAAAAUAAAUUAUGCUUGUGACAACACAGAGUUUGACAAUUGGCGAAAAAAUGUCGGCGAAACCGCGCACUAAGAGAGUCUUUCAGGUACCAUUAGAAGCAACCGCCUCAAAGGAGCCGAAGAAAAAUUGAGUAGCGAAAAGGCACUAAAAAGAAACCAAGGGGAUCGAUCUUUCAGUCAAACCGUCUGUAACAAAAACAAGUUGUCGGUUGUGAGGUGGCAUGAGAACAAAGCUGCUACUCUCAUCAGUUCCUAUACUGACGCUGAACCAGUUAGCAGGAUUAAAAGAUAUUGCAAGAAUGCCAAGAGGAAAGUCGAUGUUGAUUAUCCCAAUAUUGUGAAAGAGUAUAACAAGAAUAUGGGCGGUAAAAAAACUACGGUUUACUGCCUGAAAUGUGAUACACGCCUUUGUUUUGUGAAGGGCAAAAAUCCUCGCAACUGUUUUUUGAGCUUUCAUGUAAAAUAACACAGGCCCUACAGUUUCCUUGUACUUUUAUAAAAAAUAAAGGCUUUUUUACUA